rnacentral:rRNA from 1 species
GCCGACCUUGAAAUACCACCCUUUAAUGUUUGAUGUUCUAACGUGGACCCGUAAUCCGGGUUGCGGACAGUGUCUGGUGGGUAGUUUGACUGGGGCGGUCUCCUCCUAAAGAGUAACGGAGGAGCACGAAGGUUGGCUAAUCCUGGUCGGACAUCAGGAGGUUAGUGCAAUGGCAUAAGCCAGCUUGACUGCGAGCGUGACGGCGCGAGCAGGUGCGAAAGCAGGUCAUAGUGAUCCGGUGGUUCUGAAUGGAAGGGCCAUCGCUCAACGGAUAAAAGGUACUCCGGGGAUAACAGGCUGAUACCGCCCAAGAGUUCAUAUCGACGGCGGUGUUUGGCACCUCGAUGUCGGCUCAUCACAUCCUGGGGCUGAAGUAGGUCCCAAGGGUAUGGCUGUUCGCCAUUUAAAGUGGUACGCGAGCUGGGUUUAGAACGUCGUGAGACAGUUCGGUCCCUAUCUGCCGUGGGCGCUGGAGAACUGAGGGGGGCUGCUCCUAGUACGAGAGGACCGGAGUGGACGCAUCACUGGUGUUCGGGUUGUCAUGCCAAUGGCACUGCCCGGUAGCUAAAUGCGGAAGAGAUAAGUGCUGAAAGCAUCUAAGCACGAAACUUGCCCCGAGAUGAGUUCUCCCUGAGACUUUAGGUCUCCUGA